CUUUAAGAUGUGUAGAUAUUGCAUGAAAAAGUGAUAAAGCAUUCUUAUUUUGCUAGGUAAUUAAAUCACAUCAUAGGAAGUUUAUCCCCAAAAUGAUAAUUGCCGUGAGAAGAAACAACACUAUUUCUUGGUGGACAGGUAAAGGUACUGGUUUGAUGGCAAACAGCAGGUUUAGCACUUAUCACUACAACACAAUUGCUUGUGGAUAGCAUUCACUCACCUCCAUCUGCAAUGGCCUCCAAAUAUUUUUGCAUUUUUCCCAUCUUGAUUGCAUUUGGGCCAGAAAUGCCUCUGCCCACUGUUCCUUGCUUCCUCCCAUGCUCAGUUCAUAAGGCACUGAGAAACUCAUCAGUUCUUCUGGCUGCGAUCCUUUAUUGGGUGAAAUGCUCCUGCUGACUAAAAUUCUGAAGAUGCGAAGAUACUUGGUGGAAAGAUUAUAAAUGGCAUCUGCAAUGUGUUCCUUGCUGAACAAGUACACAACCGGAUAACCAAGAAGCCAGCCAUUUAAAGUUGGCACAGUGACCUGAGUGUCCUGCAUGCGACUACUGAGAUCAAUAAACUCAGGGGACUGAGAAAUUAUGGGUUUGUUGGUAGAUGAUUCGGCAUUAGCUGCAGUAUCCUUCAUGUGACAAGACAAGAGAUCAUUGUCCAUUUCAUUGAGAGGAAAAAACAAAGAGAAUGACUUCUGCACUCUUAUAAGUUCUGUUAGUAAUGAGCUUUCUUGUGCUUGCGCCACCAUCUUUGGAGGAUCUUGUUCUAGGU
rnacentral:misc_RNA from 1 species